rnacentral:rRNA from 1 species
UACGUAGGGGGCAAGCGUUGUCCGGAAUCAUUGGGCGUAAAGCGCGCGUAGGCGGCCCGAUCAGUCCGCUGUAAAAGUCCAGGGCUCAACCCUGGAAAGCCGGUGGAUACUGUCGGGCUAGAGUCCGGAAGAGGCGAGUGGAAUUCCUGGUGUAGCGGUGGAAUGCGCAGAUAUCAGGAGGAACACCGAUGGCGAAGGCAGCUCGCUGGGACGGUACUGACGCUGAGGUGCGAAAGCGUGGGGAGCGAACAGG